GUAGUCGUGGCCGAGAGGUUAAGGCGCCAGACCGGACGUCUGGGGGGCAUAUCCCCGCAUGGGUUCGAAUCCCAUCGACUACA